UUCCACUGGCUGUGUUUAUUUUACUGAGUGUUGCUGCGUGUGUCACUGCUGGGGGUUAUGGUGGACACGGGCACGGUGGUCAUAUAGGUUAUGGAGGCUAUCAACAGUACAUCCAGUACCAGAAACCAAUCUAUUAUCAACAGCAACCAGUGUAUGGCGGCUACGGAUCUGACACCGGAUCCAUAAUACCAAUCAUUAUUAUAUUCGUCCUCCUUGCUAUCUUCGCCCCAAUGUUGAUUGCUUCCCUGACUUUCAGCAAUGAUGCUUUUUACGAUAGUGUCAGUAAAUAAAUGGAGGAAGAUAUAAUGGGAAAGAGAUACAACUGAUAAACCCAUGUCACACUUUUGAAAUAAAAUACAGCAAUCCGA